CAAGUAGGUAGUGAAAUCGUGUGGCUCAACCAUACUCACAUUAUCUAAACUGCUAAGCUAGAAUAUAGAAGAGGUAGCUGGAAUUCCUAGUGUAGGAGUGAAAUCCGUAGAUAUUAGGAGGAACACCAAUGGCGUAGGCAGGCUACUGGUCUAUUAUUGACACUAAGGCACGAAAGCGUGGGAGCAAACGGGAUUAGAUACCCCGGUAGUCCACGCCGUAAACUAUGGAUGCUA
rnacentral:rRNA from 1 species